UGGUGGGAUACUACCCUGGCUGUAUGACCAUUCUAACCCGCCACGCUUAGCGCGUGGGGAGACAGUGUCAGGUGGGCAGUUUGACUGGGGCGGUCGCCUCCUAAAGAGUAACGGAGGCGCCCAAAGGUUCCCUCAGAAUGGAUGGAAAUCAUUCGCAGAGUGUAAAGGCACAAGGGAGCUUGACUGCGAGACUGACAAGUCGAGCAGGGACGAAAGUCGGGCUUAGUGAUCCGGUGG
rnacentral:rRNA from 1 species